rnacentral:rRNA from 1 species
ACGGGGCUAAACCAUGCACCGAAGCUGCGGCAGCGAACGUAUCACCCAAGACAACUUUACGGAGUUGACGAUUGACGGAGCGAAGCGACGUCAAAGCGUUCAUUAAAGUCGAGUUGGCUUAGGGAUACGUUCGUUGGGUAGGGGAGCGUUCUGUAAGCCUGUGAAGGUGUGUCGUGAGGCAUGCUGGAGGUAUCAGAAGUGCGAAUGCUGACAUAAGUAACGAUAAAGCGGGUGAAAAGCCCGCUCGCCGGAAGACCAAGGGUUCCUGUCCAACGUUAAUCGGGGCAGGGUGAGUCGACCCCUAAGGCGAGGCCGAAAGGCGUAGUCGAUGGGAAACGGGUUAAUAUUCCCGUACUUGGUGUUACUGCGAAGGGGGGACGGAGAAGGCUAUGUUGGCCGGGCGACGGUUGUCCCGGUUUAAGCGUGUAGGUGUGUGUUCCAGGUAAAUCCGGUUCACUUUAACACUGAGGCGUGACGACGAGGCACUACGGUGCUGAAGCAACAAAUGCCCUGCUUCCAGGAAAAGCCUCUAAGCAUCAGGUAACAUCAAAUCGUACCCCAAACCGACACAGGUGGUCAGGUAGAGAAUACCAAGGCGCUUGAGAGAACUCGGGUGAAGGAACUAGGCAAAAUGGUGCCGUAACUUCGGGAGAAGGCACGCUGACACGUAGGUGAAGUGAUUUACUCAUGGAGCUGAAGUCAGUCGAAGAUACCAGCUGGCUGCAACUGUUUAUUAAAAACACAGCACUGUGCAAACACGAAAGUGGACGUAUACGGUGUGACGCCUGCCCGGUGCCGGAAGGUUAAUUGAUGGGGUCAGCGCAAGCGAAGCUCCUGAUCGAAGCCCCGGUAAACGGCGGCCGUAACUAUAACGGUCCUAAGGUAGCGAAAUUCCUUGUCGGGUAAGUUCCGACCUGCACGAAUGGCGUAAUGAUGGCCAGGCUGUCUCCACCCGAGACUCAGUGAAAUUGAACUCGCUGUGAAGAUGCAGUGUACCCGCGGCAAGACGGAAAGACCCCGUGAACCUUUACUAUAGCUUGACACUGAACAUUGAGCCUUGAUGUGUAGGAUAGGUGGGAGGCUUUGAAGUGUGGACGCCAGUCUGCAUGGAGCCGACCUUGAAAUACCACCCUUUAAUGUUUGAUGUUCUAACGUGGGCCCGUUACCCGGGUUGCGGACAGUGUCUGGUGGGUAGUUUGACUGGGGCGGUCUCCUCCUAAAGAGUAACGGAGGAGCACGAAGGUUGGCUAAUCCUGGUCGGACAUCAGGAGGUUAGUGCAAUGGCAUAAGCCAGCUUGACUGCGAGCGUGACGGCGCGAGCAGGUGCGAAAGCAGGUCAUAGUGAUCCGGUGGUUCUGAAUGGAAGGGCCAUCGCUCAACGGAUAAAAGGUACUCCGGGGAUAACAGGCUGAUACCGCCCAAGAGUUCAUAUCGACGGCGGUGUUUGGCACCUCGAUGUCGGCUCAUCACAUCCUGGGGCUGAAGUAGGUCCCAAGGGUAUGGCUGUUCGCCAUUUAAAGUGGUACGCGAGCUGGGUUUAGAACGUCGUGAGACAGUUCGGUCCCUAUCUGCCGUGGGCGCUGGAGAACUGAGGGGGGCUGCUCCUAGUACGAGAGGACCGGAGUGGACGCAUCACUGGUGUUCGGGUUGUCAUGCCAAUGGCACUGCCCGGUAGCUAAAUGCGGAAGAGAUAAGUGCUGAAAGCAUCUAAGCACGAAACUUGCCCCGAGAUGAGUUCUCCCUGAGACUUAG